ACGGAAGGCAGCAGUGGGGAAUAUUGCACAAUGGGCGAAAGCCUGAUGCAGCGACGCCGCGUGAGCGAUGAAGUAUUUCGGUAUGUAAAGCUCUAUCAGCAGGGAAGAUAAUGACGGUACCUGACUAAGAAGCACCGGCUAAAUACGUGCCAGCAGCCGCGGUAAUACGUAUGGUGCAAGCGUUAUCCGGAUUUACUGGGUGUAAAGGGAGCGUAGGCGGCAUGGCAAGUCUGAUGUGAAAACCCAGGGCUCAACCUUGGGAUUGCAUUGGAAACUGUCAAGCUAGAGUGUCGGAGGGGUAAGUGGAAUUCCCAGUGUAGCGGUGAAAUGCGUAGAUAUUGGGAGGAACACCAGUGGCGAAGGCGGCUUACUGGACGAUUACUGACGCUGAGGCUCGAAAGCGUGGGGAGCAAACAGGAUUAGAUACCCUGGUA
rnacentral:rRNA from 1 species